UACACCCCCCUCUUUCCCUCUUUUUCCGUAAAACCUCUUCGUCUCUUCUUUAGCACUGCAAUGGUUCGAAUUUAUUACCAUGUCGUUUCCAGAUCUUAUACAUCCCUGCAAACGACACUAUAGUUUCUCAAAUUGCAAAGAAUUCUCCAUGUAAAAAUACUCUCCAUAGAAACAAUAAAAAGGCGAUGAAGACUCCACAUUCCAAUUGUAAAAGAGAAAACUAAAUAGUGACAUAAGAACCAAGGGCAUUUUCCUUUUCAGGCACAUGAUGUCUAAGCAAGGGUUGAAUCCGUUGUUCCCAAUGGAGGAUAUUGCAGUAAUGGGCAUUUGAGAGUUGCUGACAUAUCUUAACUGAAGUAAAGCUCAAAUAAACUACAGAAGCUGUUCUCUCUUUCAAGCCUCGUGACUUUAAAAGAUUCUCCUUCCGUUUCUUAAAACAUUUGCAUGCUGAUGAUGUGCACCUUUUAUGAGUUUGAAAUAGAUUUUUACUUUUUCCUUGUGCAAGGGAAAAAUAAGGUAUAGAAACAAAGGGAAAUCCUUUUAAUUUGCUGCAAGAUUCGUUCAAUAAGAUGAUGGUUAGCUCUCUGCCUAGCAACAACAUUUGUUCGAGUUCUUUAAAGUGUCCACUAUUCACUUGUGUAAAAGCUGUAUGGCUUCCAUAUUUUGAUCAUCUUGACAAUUCAUAUCAGAAGGGUAUGAUAGUGAUAAGCGACAGAGACGCAAAAAACAUAGAAAGUUGUUCUUUUUGUCUAGGAAUGGAAAGAGUAGUAGAUGAGUAAGAGGACUAAGAGAGAUUUGGAAACUCCUUAAGAAUAUUCAAAUUUGAUAUAGAUGAUGAAGACUUCAGUAAGAACCGGAGAUACCUCAAAAUGAAAUGUUGAACUCUUCAGUGAUCACAUAAGAGACGCAAUGACUGUUACUCUUAUUUGCAGUAACCUACUUCCACUGUUCCAUUACUGAAAUAGUCUAAAGUUUUGAAAUUUAGAUUUAUUUCUAUUGUAAGACUCUACACAUCUAAGUUUUUGUUGGUUAUUGAGGGUGUUUCAUAAGCUUUGAAAUAGUUACAUAUUUUGAACUUUAGAUUCUUGAUGCUCCUUUCUUC